GGACAGGGUCACGCUCUGUCACCCAGGCUGGAGUGCGGUGGCACCAUCAUAGCUCACUGCAGCCUCAAACUUCUGGGUUCAAGCAAUCCUCCUGUGUCAGCCUCCAGAGUAGCUGGGACCACACAGGUGGGUGCCAUCAUGCCUGAUUAAUUCUUUUUUUUUUUUUUUUUUUGAGACAGUCUCGCUCUUUUGCUCAGGCUGGAGUGCAGUGGCAUGAUCUCGGCUCACUGCAACCUCCGCCUCUGGGUUCAAGCGAUUCUCCUGCCUCAGCCUCCUGAGUAGCUGGGAUUACAGGUGCCCACCACCAUGCCUGGCUGAUUUUUGUAUUUUUAUAGAGACAGGGUUUCACCAUGUUGGCCAGGCUGGUCUCGAACUCCUGACCUCAAGUGAUCCAUCCACCUCGGCCUCCCAAAGUGCUGGGAUUGCAGGCAUGAGCCACUGUGCCUGGCCCCAGGAUACAGACUCUAAUUCUAUUAUUUUCUAGGUCUAAAAAAGGAAACCUAUAUUAAAUCACAAGUCAUAUCUUGAAGAGGGAAAACUAAAAGAAGAUUCUAUUGUAUCAGGUCAUUUUAAACCCGAAACUAACUUUUAUUAUCAUGGCCGAAUUAGUGGGUUCUUACUGGUUUAGAUAUUAAAACGAAUCAUAAAUAUGGCUGUUUGGCUUAUAUGAGUUAUAGAUCUUAUGUGCUGGCUUAAAUUCCUAAGUUUUCAAGUGGAUAAUUCUAAAGACAACGCCAAUUAAUUAGUUUCCCAGAAUUAGAUUUAAGCUGGGAAAUUAA
rnacentral:lncRNA from 10 species